rnacentral:lncRNA from 12 species
AGAAAAAAAAGAAAAGAAAAAAAAAAGAAAAAAAAGAAAAGAAUAAAGGGUUUUCAGGAUCCCUGGCUGGCUCAGCGGUUGAGCCCCUGCCUUCUGUCCGGGGCAUGACCCCGGGGUCCUGGGAUCGAGUCCCGCAUCGGGCUCCCGGCAUGGAGCCUGCUUCUCCCUCUGCCUGUGUCUCUGCCUCUCUCUAUGUGUGUCUCUCAUGAAUAAAUAAAAUCUUUAAAAAAAUAAAAUAAAAUAAAUUUUAAAAAUUGUGGUAAAAUGCACGUAACAUGUAGCAUCUUAACUGUAUUUAUGCGUGCAGUUUAGUGGCAUUAACUCCGCUUGCACUGCGGUGCAGCUAUAACUUGGUCUUUUAAUGUGACCUAAAAUACUCGCGUUGCAAUUUCAUCCGUGCGCCUUACUAAAACUUUGCUGGAAAUGUUUACACGUCGCUAAAAAUGAACAAAACCUUUAAAACCCUUUGUCAGACUGUUUAUCUAAAUGUUUCUGGAGUGGAAACUGUUAGUAUGCCUGGGACUUAGUCCGAGCUGGGCCCGGCCCUCACCGGUGCCGAGCGGUGUGCAAGGUGACGGCUGGACACUAGUGCUGGAAGAGAGCUUAGGGAUCAUCCGAUCCCAGGGCCUUACUGUGUGUGGUUGCCCGUUUCGCCGUCCUUGAGGCACCCGACCGUUCCUGAGCCCGUGUCCCAGGCCGGGGGUGGGAGCCGGAGGACAGACCCCGCCAGAGUGGCCAGCGCGUCCCUCCCGGUGCGGCCCCAGAGGGCAGCGAGCUCAGUGGCCGGAGGCAGGAGAGAGACAGACCCGAGGAGGAGACUUAGGGACCUGGCCUGGCCCGGAUACCGGAGGCCUUGCAACCACAUGGGGAAGAGUCGGGGUUCCUUCUUUGCCCUGUGUACCCGGAGCCGCAGGACGAGCGCUGCUGGCUCCGAUCCUGGCCCAGGGGUCACCGGGUCAGAGGCGGAGCCUGGGCGGUGUGCCGGGUGCCCAGGCUGGGAGACACCGCCGUCCUGUUGGGGACCCGGUCCCAGGUGAGCGGUGCGCUAGGGGCUGCCACCCGAGGAUUCUCCAGAACUUGGCGCGGCCGAAUGUGCUGAGAGCAGUUAAGCCAUUGAAGGUCACAUUUACUGAAGAGAUCUGAGGAAAGUUGCAAAAGAAGAUCUCUGUCGCUGAACUAUAAUUCUGUAAAUUUGUGGUUAGCUAGGAUAUCCUGUCAGACUGUUUAGUUCUAGUUUCCUUUUCUUAUUUUAAAAGGUCUCUUCCUAAGAAAUGGGUCAUGAGCGCUCAGGCGAUUGGCCCCUAACAAAGCUUUAACUUCUGGGACGCCCAAGUCCCUUGCUACAGUUUUGGGCGUAAAUCGCCCCACCUCGGGACAGAUGAGACAGCCCCCUGCUGGGCGCCACACUGUGGGCAUGAGGCCAGGAGGCCCACCCACCGCAGGCGUCUCCUCCCUGCGCCUCCGCCGUGGAAGCCGGUGACACCCACCUCGUGUCACACAGACAGUGAAACCCACCAUCGUCACCUUGCUCUGGCCUAGCUGUUUUCUCCCAAAGGACCUUUGGUUGGGAGGUGUCCUGGGAUUGUGACAUCAAAGAUCCUCUUCCUUCUGACCCCAGUGUACUUCCACUCUCCUUGUGUAACACCCCAAUAAUCAAUACAAUAAAAAUAGGAAGAUUUUAUUAAUACUCUAAAAA